rnacentral:tRNA from 1 species
GCGUCCGUAGCUCAGGUGGAUAGAGCAACGGAUUUCUAAUCCGUUGGUCGAAGGUUCGAGUCCUUCCGGACGCACCA